AGUGAACGCUGGCGGUAGGCCUAACACAUGCCAGUCGAACGGCAGCACAGUAAGAGCUUGCUCUUACGGGUGGCGAGUGGCGGACGGGUGAGGAAUACAUCGGAAUCUACUUUUUCGUGGGGGAUAACGUAGGGAAACUUACGCUAAUACCGCAUACGACCUACGGGUGAAAGCAGGGGAUCUUCGGACCUUGCGCGAUUGAAUGAGCCGAUGUCGGAUUAGCUAGUUGGCGGGGUAAAGGCCCACCAAGGCGACGAUCCGUAGCUGGUCUGAGAGGAUGAUCAGCCACACUGGAACUGAGACACGGUCCAGACUCCUACGGGAGGCAGCAGUGGGGAAUAUUGGACAAUGGGCGCAAGCCUGAUCCAGCCAUACCGCGUGGGUGAAGAAGGCCUUCGGGUUGCAAAGCCCUUUUGUUGGGAAAGAAAAGCAGCAGGUUAAUACCCCGCUGUUCUGACGGUACCCAAAGAGUAAGCACCGGCUAACUUCGUG
rnacentral:rRNA from 1 species